rnacentral:rRNA from 1 species
UACACGACCGUACCGCAAACCGACACUGGUGCGCGAGAUGAGUAUUCUAAGGCGCUUGAGAGAACUCAGGAGAAGGAACUCGGCAAAUUGACACCGUAACUUCGGAAGAAGGUGUGCCUUUAGUAGGUGAACCAUUUACUUGGGGAGCCCAAUGAGGCUGCAAAAAAUCGGUGGCUGCAACUGUUUAUUAAAAACACAGCACUCUGCUAAGACGAAAGUCGACGUAUAGGGUGUGACGCCUGCCCGGUGCUGGAAGAUUAAAUGAUGGGGUGCAAGCUCUUGAUUGUAGUCCCAGUAAACGGCGGCCGUAACGAUAACGGUCCUAAGGUAGCGAAAUUCCUUGUCGGGUAAGUUCCGACCUGCACGAAUGGCGUAAUGAUGGCCACACUGUCUCCUCCUGAGACUCAGCGAAGUUGAAAUGUUUGUGAUGAUGCAAUCUCCCCGCGGAAAGACGGAAAGACCCCAUGAACCUUUACUGUAGCUUUGUAUUGGACUUUGAACAGAUCUGUGUAGGAUAGGUGGGAGGCUUUGAAGUGUGGUCGCUAGAUCGCAUGGAGCCAACGUUGAAAUACCACCCUGGUGUGUUUGAGGUUCUAACCUAGGUCCAUUAUCUGGAUCGGGGACAGUGCAUGGUAGGCAGUUUGACUGGGGCGGUCUCCUCCCAACGUGUAACGGAGGAGUUCGAAGGUACGCUAGGUACGGUCGGACAUCGUGCUAAUAGUGCAAUGGCAUAAGCGUGCUUAACUGCGAGACUGACAAGUCGAGCAGAUGCGAAAGCAGGACAUAGUGAUCCGGUGGUUCUGUAUGGAAGGGCCAUCGCUCAACGGAUAAAAGGUACUCUGGGGAUAACAGGCUGAUACCGCCCAAGAGUUCAUAUCGACGGCGGUGUUUGGCACCUCGAUGUCGGCUCAUCUCAUCCUGGGGCUGUAGCCGGUCCCAAGGGUAUGGCUGUUCGCCAUUUAAAGAGGUACGUGAGCUGGGUUUAAAACGUCGUGAGACAGUUUGGUCCCUAUCUUCCGUGGGCGCUGCAGAUUUGAGGAAGCCUGCUCCUAGUACGAGGGGACCGGAGUGGACGAACCUCUGGUGUAUCGGUUGUCACGCCAGUGGCAUUGCCGAGUAGCUAAGUUCGGAAGAGAUAACCGCUGAAAGCAUCUAAGCGGGAAACUCGUUUCAAGAUUAGAUCUGCCGGGGCCUUGAGCCCCCUAAAGAGUCGUUG